rnacentral:lncRNA from 1 species
GAUCCCCAGAUUUUAUCUUCCAGAAACAAUACCAAGUUUUUGUUGGGGAUCCCAGAAAGCUCCCUAGUAGACCUAACAGGGAGAAGGUACAGAAAAGCCAUUGAGCAAACCCCUCAGACCCUUCUUUAACAAACCCCUCUUCUCCAAGAUGAAGGCCUUCACUAGACAGCAAUUCUGAAACCUCAUCUCAUGAAGGGCAAGGAAAUUCACUUAGCUGCUUCCGCAUUCCCAUCUGACUAAAGGAGAACAAAAGCUGGGCGUGGCCAACGGGGAAGAGAGCUGCCAGGAAAUACACGACACUGAGAGCGUGAGAGCUACAGAAGAUGUAGGAGGAAGGGGAGACAAGAAGCACUGAACAGACCACCCCGGAACAGGCUGUUUAGCAACUGAGGUUUAUUCAGAAGACUAGAGAACGCCUUCUCCUAUCCAUUGCCUAACAGCACUAAUGAGCGUGCAGUCUAUGGAGCUGGGAAGAUGCAGGACAAUGAUUAAAGCGUGGCAUGCCACUGCACAGUAAACAAAUACUGUCAAGGGAGUCGAAGCUCGCUUACCUAUGGGGAGUGUGUUUUACGUUGGGAGGAAAGGUGGAAGAAACUUCAUGCAGAGAAGAGCAGGCUCUGAAACACAACAGGGAAUUGUUGAAAGGUCAGCAGACGAGGAAAUUUAAGAGUGAGCUGCCGAGGGCUCCACGUCACUGCCGUUUGAGUCACUCUAUCUAGGAGCUGCCCAUGAUAGGCAAGUUUUUCACUUUUUGUCUCACAAACGUUCAAAGGAGCAGACAGAUGUUUGGAAA